AGCGGAAGCGGCGCAACGCGGCCUCGGCCAUGGCGGGUGCGGGCAGAGGGCGGCGCCAUCUUGAGUGCUGGCAGGGUCGUGUCAGCUCCGCCCUCAGGAUGGGCUGUCACGGAAUCCCAGGGGAGCUGCAGCUGGAAGGGACCUCUGGAGAUGUCCUGUCCAACCCCCUGUCAAGGUAGUGUCGCCUGGAUAGGUGACAACGCAUCCAGGUACGACCCACACUUCAACACCUGGCCAGCAUGGAGCACAGGAGAUCCCACUUCAGCCUGAGCACCUGUGACGGGCUCCCCUACACUGUGGGAGGGCACAACACCCAGUGCCCGCUGGCUUCUGAGUGCUACAUCCCCACCACCACCAGCUGGCACAGCAAGGCCGCCCUGGAGACGCCUCCACCAUCAUCCACGGCCAGCUGUGGCUACAUCAGGCACACCCACUCCAGCUCCGUGUGCUGCUACAAGGCUUGGACAGCUGGAGGGAGCAGCCUGGGCUGGGCACAGCCUGGGGCUGGCUGAGAGAUGGAGGGAGCCUGGAAUGAGAGCAGGAAGAGGUAUCAGAACUGCAUCCAGUGCUACAACCCCGACCUCAACGAGCGGGCUGAGGGUGAGGAACUCCCCGAUGCCAUGGUAGGUGUCUCGUGCUGCACCAUCACACUCCCACCAUCCCUGGGCUCCAGGUCCAGCUCUGUGGCCUCGGCAGCAAGCAGCACGUAAAGAGCUGAGUUCUACAUGGCUUUUGCCAGCAGCAAGGGAAGGACACGCAGCUCGAGAGUGUGGGACAGCUGGGUAAGGAGGCACGCUGAUGUCUGGGGUCACUGCAAACUUUGGGAGCUAGGAAAUUGUCCCCUGAGCUGCCUCCAUCUCCAUCUCGAAGCCUAAGCAGGGAAUGCAGGCACAGAAGCAGGACAGAGAGCUUUUCUCCCCAGCCUCCAGCACUGGAUUGCAGCAUGGAUAGGGGAAAACAAAAAGGAGAAAAUAAAGAAUUCAGCCAAACUGUAAUAGUGGAAAAGAAGGACCCUCGCUUCCAUCAGCUUCCCACAAAACUCACAACACAAGUUAGGGAUAUCUCCAUCCUCCAAGCGUGGCAGCUGAGCCUGGAGCUCUGUCAGACCAACAAAUCCUAACCCUGCCUCCUCACUCAUGAUCCCCAAACAUGCAACUCCUCCAAAAACUGAGAGUCAUUUCUACAAGAGCUGGUAAUUCCUCCCGGCUCUCCUGCCAAGAGCAGCUCUUUCAGUUCAGCACAAAAAAGCACAAACAGCAUUCCUGCUCUAACAUUUCUAUUUAGUAGCAGCACCUUCUACUACUCUGGGACAGUAAAAAUCUACUAUUCAAGCCCUCAUCAAGAUCUGCCCAGUGAUUUGCUCCAGCCUCUCCAUGAGGAAUUUUGCUGUUCCUUGCUAGGAAACUCCUGGGAUACAAAAAUAAAGAUGUACCUUUUGCUG